CAGAGGGUGCAAGCGUUGUCGGAAUUAUUGGGCGUAAAGGGCGCGUAGGCGGUGCGGUAAGCUUUUGUGAAAUCUCCGGGCUCAACUCGGAGUCUGCAGGAGAAACUGCCGUGCUUGAGUGUGGGAGAGGUGAGUGGAAUUCCCGGGUGUAGCGGUGAAAUGCGUAGAUAUCGGGAGGAACACCUGUGGCGAAAGCGGCUCACUGGACCACAACUGACGCUGAGGCGCGAAAGCUAGGGGAGCAAACAGGAUUAGAUACCCUGGUAGUCCUAGCCCUAAACGAUGAUUGCUUGGUGUGGCAGGUACCCAAUCCUGCUGUGCCGAAGCUAACGCGAUAAGCAAUCCGCCUGGGGAGUACGGUCGCAAGGCUG
rnacentral:rRNA from 1 species